AAUUUAUUAACUUUCUAAACUCUUUGUCCUCUACUACACUAAAUGGGUGGUAUUCUUUUACUAUCAUUCUUACGAGUUGUUGGUCGAUAGAUUUUGAUUUACUAAAAGGCAGUGGUCGUUGAAUAAAAUUUGUAAUAGCCAAUUGGUUAUGUAUAUUGAUUGAUGGUGAAGAUGUAGUUUGAAUUAAUGAAUUACCUGGAGGAUGAGUUAAUGAAAUUGGAUUUGAUGCUAAUGGUUGUGGAUUGUCAAUAUUUUCAGAAUUACUUUCAUAUACCUAUUUAAAAUUCAAUCCAGAAAACCUGCUUGCAAAAGGGUUAAAUCCUAUUAUAAUCUACUGCUAUGCGGCAAAGAAAAAAAAGUCUAACUAGCUCAGCGCAAUGGAAUUGAACCUCUCUGUCUUUAUUCUGAAGUAAAAAGAGGAUCAGAAACUUAUAUUCAAUAUAAACAUGGAAUAUUUUUUUAACACUUGAAAGUUGGAAUGAAGAUUAUCAUGAAAUAAAACUUUCAUUAAAGGAAGAAAAUCAUAUUUUAUUUUUAUAUUAUGCAUAAAUGUAUAGCCUAUUAUAAAUUAUUUGUAUUUUAAAUAACCAUGAUAGUUCGAUGUAAUGGUACUGUAACAUGUCGUAUUUUAAUAUGUCGAGUUAAGUUACCAGUUGAUCCACCACUAUAACUUUUCGAUUCAUUGCAAUAAUUACAUUUUGCAACAUUUUGUGCUAUUAAUGUAUAAUGAUUCCAAAUAUCACUACGUUUUUUAUUUAAAUUUGUUUUUGAAGCCAUGAUCUAUUAAUUUAUAAAUUAUGCCUAAUAUAUUUUUAUAAUUAUUAUCA